rnacentral:lncRNA from 1 species
UCUUACCUUCCUCGAUGAUGCGAGUCACAUCGGUGAUGAUGACCGUUUCAGGUUCUUUCUGCUCAUGUGGCUCAUCGGAUGGCUUCUUUGGCUUGCCCUUCUUUUUCUUGCCAGGCUCCUUGUCAUCGGCUUCUGGCUUCUCAGGUGUCUCCUUCCAGCCAAAGAUAGUUGGAGUGGGCUCCUUUCCAGGUGUGCCCUCUCUGCUUGGAAGCUUGGUGGGCUCUUGUGUUUCAGCACCAGGUUCUCCAGGGAAUGCUGGCUCCUUCUUACCUUCCUCGAUGAUGCGAGUCACUUCAGUGAUGAUGACUGUUUCGGGUUCUUUCUGCUCACGUGGCUCAUCGGAUGGCUUCUUUGGCUUG